rnacentral:lncRNA from 1 species
GCAUCUUUUAGGUUUUCUAUGUUCAUUGGGAUGAAUGAGAAAUGUAAUACAUUUUUGUUUGGAAUCUCUCUCUUGGCAAAAACUGCUUCUUCCCGAUAGUAAAUGCUUAUUGAAAUUUUCCAUCAUGGAAAAAAAUUCCUUCUGUGUUCUCUGUAGAACUUGCUUCCUUUUCUUGGACUGCUUUUAAGAAAUGCUAGUGAAGCAUAUCGGAACUUUUUAGUGAUAAAGAGCUUGAGAGCGAGAGAAAACCUACACGGAACUUGCUUAUCCAAAAAUAGCUUCUCUUGGGCUAAUUUUUGAGAAAAUCUAGUGAAGCGUACCUUUUUUUUAAUUCGUCACGGGACAAAUUCGAGGCUCAAAGUUCGGGCAGGGCUGAUUAUUUUGCCAGCUCUAAACUCAUGAGAUUAUAAAAUUGAAGAGUUUCUUUUUGUUUUUUCGAUGAUCUUACAAUGGAGGAGGAACGCU